GGGGCUGUGGCUCAGUAGUAGAGCGCUUGCCUAGCACGUGAGAGGCACUGGGUUCAAUCCUCAGCACUA
rnacentral:tRNA from 1 species